UCUCAGAAACCAGCUUUCAUAGAGGAGGAACUUGGAGUGAGAAUUGGUUCCUCGCUUCUCCAUAGGCAGAGGGCCCAAAGACCAGCUGAAGCCCCAGGCAUGGAGACCUCUUCUCUUUCCUUUGAGUAGAGACGACAGACUGCAGUCUCUAGAUCCUGUACCAUGUGACUUCUGGCUCUUCUGUGAAGUGAAAAUGACAACGAAAGUAACCAUCUUGGAUACAUUCGGGACAUUGAGUCUGUCACAGCAGGGCAGCGAGGGCUACUCACGAAAGAGGACUUUGAGAACUACUUCUGGAAGUGGCCAGGAUGAUGCGGAUAUGGGAAUUAUCAUUUUUUGGAAGAAUGAGAACUGAAGACAGUAGUCACUUUCACAGCGAUGGUCGCAAUAACUCCUACCCUGGAAUACUCCUGCAUUGCUUCAGCCCUGGACAAUGACAAUCUGUAAGAAAAUAACCACUUCCUUGUCCCAUGCCCAUCUUGUGUUUCUACCAGAAUAAGUCACAGGCUUCGUGUUUGAUCAGCUCAGCACACAGGAAGUACGAAUGAUCUACUGAUGUUAUAUUAACAAUAGUAGCAACAGAUUUACUCAUCCU